CAGAUGUUGUUCUGUUGAAGUUGUCUGUCCGGAAGGGAACAUGGCUUGAAGGCUGCACGCUCCCUCUGCGGACUGUAGUCCUUCUUUUGUACUCUUGGGUCAAGGAACUGACUACAGUGCAUUAUUGUGUACAAGAACUGGGGAUGAGCCACGCUUCAGCUGUGGAUUACAACAAUUAUGUGCGAGAAAUAUGCGCGCAUGGCUUGCUAAUGAACCCAGUUGUAAUAGGUGGUCCUGGGAAGAUUGUCGAGAUAGACGAGACAGUCUUCUCUAGGAGGAAGUUUAAUCGAGGAAGGGUGUUACCUCAGCAAUGGGUAUUCGGUGGGGUGUGUCGUGAGACCAGAGAAGUUUUCCUUUAUGCAGUACCUUCUCGGAAUCGCGACACACUCGAAGAAUGCAUCCGUCACUCGAUCCUCCCAGGUACCACAAUAUUUAGUGACCUGUGGAGGGCUUAUUCGCAUAUUCCAGAGAUCGAGGGAUACAAUUUUUGACAUAGAACGGUGAACCACAGCGUCGAGUUUGUUAACUCCGUUGACAA